AGCCAAGCUACUAAGGGUCUACGGUGGAUGCCUUGGCGCUAGGAGGCGAUGAAGGACGCGACAAACGGCGAUACGCUUCGGGGAGGUGUUAAUGACUUAGGAUCCGGAGAUUUCCGAAUGGGGCAACCUGGCCAGAUAGGCCGUUGACACGCCAACCGGGGGAAGUGAAACAUCUCAGUACCCCGAGGAAAAGAAAGAGAAUUCGAUUCCCGUAGUAGUGGCGAGCGAACUGGGAGGAGCCUAAACCGGGCGGUAUAUCCGCGCGGGGUUGUGGGGCUCUGCUGGGCAUAUGCCGAGAAGUUAUCAAUCAACUGUUUAGCGGAACGUUUCAGGAAUGGGCGGCCAUAGAGGGUGACAGCCCCGUAUGCGAAAAGCGGUUGACUUCUUGAGCGGAGAACCCGAGUACGGUGGGAUAAGCAUGACUGCCGGAAUCUAGGCACACCACUGCCUAAGGCUAAAUACUCCCUAGCGACCGAUAGUGAACCAGUACCGUGAGGGAAAGGUGAAAAGUCCCCCUGAAGGGGAGUGAAAUAGUACCUGAAACCGUAGACUUACAAUCUGUGGGAGCCCUACGCUUCUUUGAAGCACGGGUGACCGCGUGCCUUUUGCAUAAUGAGCCGGUGACUUAUGUUGUGUGGCAGGUUAAGCGUCUCUGACGCGGAGCCUCAGCGAAAGCGAGUCUGAAUAGGGCGUAGGUCGCAUGACAUAGACCCGAAACCAAGUGAUCUAUCCAUGGCCAGGAUGAAGCGCAUGUAACAGUGAGUGGAGGUCCGAACCCACCAAGGCUGAAAACUUGGGGGAUGAGCUGUGGAUCGGAGUGAAAGGCUAAUCAAACUUGGUGAUAGCUGGUUCUCCCCGAAAUAGCUUUAGGGCUAGCCUU
rnacentral:rRNA from 1 species